AAGGCUGAACCAGUCGAAGAUACCAGCUGGCUGCAACUGUUUAUUAAAAACACAGCACUCUGCAAACACGAAAGUGGACGUAUAGGGUGUGAUGCCUGCCCGGUGCUGGAAGGUUAAUUGAUGGUGUAAUCGAAAGAGAAGCUCCUGAUCGAAGCCCCAGUAAACGGCGGCCGUAACUAUAACGGUCCUAAGGUAGCGAAAUUCCUUGUCGGGUAAGUUCCGACCUGCACGAAUGGCAUAAUGAUGGCCAGGCUGUCUCCACCCGAGACUCAGUGAAAUUGAAAUCGCCGUGAAGAUGCGGUGUACCCGCGGCUAGACGGAAAGACCCCGUGAACCUUUACUAUAGCUUGACACUGAACAUUGAAUUUUGAUGUGUAGGAUAGGUGGGAGCUUAAGAAGCAGUCACGCCAGUGAUUGUGGAGGCGUCCUUGAAAUACCACCCUUUAACGUUUGAUGUUCUAACGAAGAUUGCGAAACGCGGUCUCGGACAGUGUCUGGUGGGUAGUUUGACUGGGGCGG
rnacentral:rRNA from 1 species